UACGGAGGGGGCAAGCGUUAUUCGGAAUUAUUGGGCGUAAAGGGCGCGUAGGCGGCUAGAUGUGUCAAAGGUGAAAUCCCUCGGCUCAACUGAGGGACUGCCUUUGAAACUGUCUGGCUUGAGGCCGGGAGAGGGUAGCGGAAUUCCCAGUGUAGCGGUGAAAUGCGUAGAUAUUGGGAGGAACACCAGUGGCGAAGGCGGCUACCUGGACCGGUUCUGACGCUGAGGCGCGAAAGCGUGGGUAGCAAACAGG
rnacentral:rRNA from 1 species